AGUGAACGCUGGCGGUAGGCCUAACACAUGCAAGUCGAACGGCAGCACAGUAAGAGCUUGCUCUUACGGGUGGCGAGUGGCGGACGGGUGAGGAAUACAUCGGAAUCUACUUUUUCGUGGGGGAUAACGUAGGGAAACUUACGCUAAUACCGCAUACGACCUACGGGUGAAAGCAGGGGAUCUUUGGACCUUGCGCGAUUGAAUGAGCCGAUGUCGGAUUAGCUAGUUGGCGGGGUAAAGGCCCACCAAGGCGACGAUCCGUAGCUGGUCUGAGAGGAUGAUCAGCCACACUAGAACUGAGACACGGUCCAGACUCCUACGGGAGGCAGCAGUGGGGAAUAUUGGACAAUGGGCGCAAGCCUGAUCCAGCCAUACCGCGUGGGUGAAGAAGGCCUUCGGGUUGUAAAGCCCUUUUGUUGGGAAAGAAAAGCAGCAGGUUAAUACCCCGCUGUUCUGACGGUACCCAAAGAAUAAGCACCGGCUAACUUCGUG
rnacentral:rRNA from 1 species